GGCCAACUAGUUCAGUGGUUAGAGCGUUGUGUUAAUAUGUUUUCGCUGCCCUAUCCAGUAUUAGCGCGAAGGUCUUGGGUUCGGUCCCUACGUUGGCCA